rnacentral:rRNA from 1 species
AACACAUGCAAGUCGAGGGCAUCAUGUCGGUUGCUUGCAACCGAUGAUGGCGACCGGCGCACGGGUGAGUAACGCGUAUCCAACCUCCCUUAGUAGGGCAUAGCCCGUAGAAAUGCGGAUUAACACCCUAUGUUCUUCAUGGAUGGCAUCUGACGUGAAGCAAAGUUUACGCUAAGGGGAUGGGGAUGCGUCUGAUUAGGUUGCAGGCGGGGUAACGGCCCACCUGGCCGACGAUCAGUAGGGGUUCUGAGAGGAAGGUCCCCCACAUUGGAACUGAGACACGGUCCAAACUCCUACGGGAGGCAGCAGUGAGGAAUAUUGGUCAAUGGGCGCGAGCCUGAACCAGCCAAGUAGCCGUGCAGGAUGACGGCCCUAUGGGUUGUAAACUGCUUUUAUCAGGGGAUAAAGUCGGCUACGCGUAGCCGUUUGUAGGUACCUGAUGAAUAAGGACCGGCUAAUUCCGUGCCAGCCGCCGC